rnacentral:rRNA from 1 species
CUACGGGACGCUGCAGUAAGGAAUAUUGCGCAAUGGAGGCAACUCUGACGCAGCCAUGCCGCGUGCAGGAAGAAGGCCUUAUGGGUCGUAAACUGCUUUUAUUUAGGAAUAAACCCCCGAACGUGUUCGGGGCUGAAGGUACUAAACGAAUAAGCACCGGCUAACUCCGUGCCAGCAGCCGCGGUAAUACGGAGGGUGCAAGCGUUAUCCGGAUUUAUUGGGUUUAAAGGGUGCGCAGGCGGGCUAUUAAGUCAGUGGUGAAAUCCCGGGGCUCAACUCCGGAACUGCCAUUGAUACUGGUAGUCUUGAGUUUGGUUGAAGUGGGCGGAAUGUAGCAUGUAGCGGUGAAAUGCAUAGAUAUGCUACAGAACACCAAUCGCGAAGGCAGCUCACUAAGCCAAAACUGACGCUCAUGCACGAAAGCGUGGGGAUCAAACAGGAUUAGAUACCCCAGUAGUC